AAACUAUCGGGCGCCCUGAGUCUGAAUUUACUGCUAAUGACUGCUCAUAAAGAUAAAAAUAAAGUCAACAAAGGCAUAGAGUAAAACAGGGAGGAACCAGCUUUGAUGUUGCCGGUUACUCCCAUAAAAAUACGGACCUCCAGUUAAAUUUGAAUUUCAGCUAAACAACCAAUAAAUUUUCAGUUAUGGUGCUUGGCACGUGGCCAGCAGUGUUUUCCGUGCUGAUGAGACUGCAGGAGGAUGAAACAGACAAAAAUCUCUGCUUGCAUCCUAGCAGGGAAAGACAGACACGAGCAAGAUGUCCACGUCUUACCUCAGAACACCUCAGGGUCUUGCUAAGGCAUUAAGUUGCCCAGGCUGGGCUCAAACUUGU
rnacentral:lncRNA from 1 species